rnacentral:rRNA from 1 species
GUAGUCCACGCCGUAAACGUUGGGCGCUAGGUGUGGGUCCCAUUCCACGGGGUCCGUGCCGCAGCUAACGCAUUAAGCGCCCCGCCUGGGGAGUACGGCCGCAAGGCUAAAACUCAAAGGAAUUGACGGGGGCCCGCACAAGCGGCGGAGCAUGCGGAUUAAUUCGAUGCAACGCGAAGAACCUUACCAAGGCUUGACAUGCACCGGAAACUCCCAGAGAUGGGGGCCCCGCAAGGUCGGUACACAGGUGGUGCAUGGUUGUCGUCAGCUCGUGUCGUGAGAUGUUGGGUUAAGUCCCGCAACGAGCGCAACCCUCGUUCUAUGUUUCCAGCACGUGAUGGUGGGGACUCAUAGGAGACUGCCGGGGUCAACUCGGA